rnacentral:lncRNA from 1 species
CUCCCAUAAGGGGAGAGAGAAGCCAGAGGCCAGAGGCGCUCCCUGCAAGCCAGUCAACCUCAAGCAAACGGCUUCUGGCCUCCGUCUUCCCACUCCGCCCCGGCCAAGCAGAAAGCAGAGUCUGCCUGAGGGCUGUGAAGGAUGGAGAAAUGAAGGCGAGGUGACGUGGGGGUGGAGGAGCCCCUGAGGCCUGAUUUCAGCUCUGCUUCAUAACCAUCCCUCCCACCCCCCGCCACCUCCACAAGGAGAGGAGGGCUGAGAGGUGAUGAGCUCUCUGUCACUGGAGGGUGUAGCCCAGCCUUCCGUCCCCCUUGGAGCUGACAGCAUGAGCUCAUCCGGGCAGCCCGAGGAGCCAGUGGGGAAACUUUGAGUCACGCAGAGCCUGCGGCCAGGAUGCCGGUGUAGGAGAGGUGCCAUGGGAGGGCUGAGCACCCCGCCCGGCGGCCAGAGCCCAGGUGCCUCGAGGAGCAGGUGGAGGGGCGUCCACGUGGCGUGGAAUGCAGGCCACUGUGUGGCCACCGGCUGAAGGGGCAAGAACGACCCUGGGUGUCGGGAAGGGCACAGUAGAGGCUUCAGAAGCGGAAGAGGAAGGGAGGGAACAGCUCCUGGCGAUGGUGAGGCAAAGCAGCGGGGAGGGCGUGGAUGGGCACACCCUGAGCCCUGCGGUGGCUUCUGCUGCCCAUCCCACUUCCAAUGAUGCUCCAACCUAAUUACACAGAAUCUAAUUCUCAAGCAGAAGCAGACGCCAGGCAAGGCCAUGCUGCCCCUGCCGACGUGUGGAUGUGGCGGGAGCCCCCACCCGGAGCUCUGCCUCCACGGUGAGUGUCUGUGCAUGGCUGCCAACCUCGAAUGCCUGGGCCAAGGUCAUGGGCCCUGCUCUCCACAAUGGAGGGAAAGGGGGCAGCUCGCUCUCACCUGUGAGUCACCUGGGACCCUCGCAGGCUGGACAUGGUCUCUUCCAAGUUCUGUCGGAGAUCCAGAACAUUCUGCACUGUCCUCUUCCUCUGGGACUCUGGGUCUAGGGGGAGAAAAGGAGGAGCUGGAUGAGGUAGGUGCAGGGCGACCACAUCCCCAGGAGGUAAGGGGCGCAUGCUAGCUUGGAGAAGACUCAACUAGAGCAGAAAUGUACCCACCACCUCCCAGGCUGAAAACACCCCAAACCGAGGGCACGAGCAAGAAGGAAGGGCUCAGGAACUUUCUCCUCCCUCCACCAGUCCAGGCGGAGAACGAAUGGGACAGGCUUUGGGCAGAAACCUCAGUCAGCCCUGCCCCAAGGCUUGUCCUUGACCUUGGGACCCAGGUCGCGGAAUGGAAGCAGAUCCCCCAAAGCCUCCCUGAAAGGGAGCGUCGGGGACCCAGGGAUGCUGGCAGAGGCGCCCAAGAGCUCUGCCCUCAGGCUCCUGUCUGGACCCUCUGCGGUUCUUGCCCAGAGCCCAUGCACCUUCCCCACCCAGAAAGGUGCCCUCCAGGAGGUAUUUUUUCCCCAAGACUAAGCUCAGCCCAGCUGCUCUGUCUUGUCAGCCAGGGCGGGAGGCAGUCAGGCCCAAGGCCCUUCCAGAACCUCUGAGGCACCUUUCCUGAGGACCAGCCCCAUGCCCCGUCCAGCCUGCCCCUCCCUUCUGGGGUCUGGGUGGGAGGGGUCUCAUUCUGGGAGCUCCAGGCAGCUGGCUGGUGGGGACAAAGACAAGCCUUCGUGUGUCACGCCUGUGGCCGCCCAUGCCUAUUUGUCCUGGCAAGGGUCACCUUGUGAGCUGCUUGGGGCUGUGCGGAUGUCUUGGCAUGGAACACAGGGUCAGAAAAUGUACAUUUAUUUU